rnacentral:rRNA from 1 species
GGCAGCAUUUCAGUUUGCUUGCAAACUGGAGAUGGCGACCGGCGCACGGGUGAGUAACACGUAUCCAACCUGCCGAUAACUCGGGGAUAGCCUUUCGAAAGAAAGAUUAAUACCCGAUGGUAUAAUCAGACCGCAUGGUCUUGUUAUUAAAGAAUUUCGGUUAUCGAUGGGGAUGCGUUCCAUUAGGCAGUUGGUGAGGUAGCGGCUCACCAAACCUUCGAUGGAUAGGGGUUCUGAGAGGAAGGUCCCCCACAUUGGAACUGAGACACGGUCCAAACUCCUACGGGAGGCAGCAGUGAGGAAUAUUGGUCAAUGGGCGCAGGCCUGAACCAGCCAAGUAGCGUGAAGGAUGACUGCCCUAUGGGUUGUAAACUUCUUUUAUAUGGGAAUAAAGUUUUCCACGUGUGGAAUUUUGUAUGUACCAUAUGAAUAAGGAUCGGCUAACUCCGUGCCAGCAGCCGCGGUAAUACGGAGGAUCCGAGCGUUAUCCGGAUUUAUUGGGUUUAAAGGGAGCGUAGGUGGACAGUUAAGUCAGUUGUGAAAGUUUGCGGCUCAACCGUAAAAUUGCAGUUGAUACUGGCUGUCUUGAGUACAGUAGAGGUGGGCGGAAUUCGUGGUGUAGCGGUGAAAUGCUUAGAUAUCACGAAGAA